rnacentral:rRNA from 1 species
GACGAACGCUGGCGGCGUGCUUAACACAUGCAAGUCGAACGGAAAGGCCCUGCUUUUGUGGGGUGCUCGAGUGGCGAACGGGUGAGUAACACGUGAGUAACCUGCCCUUGACUUUGGGAUAACUUCAGGAAACUGGGGCUAAUACCGGAUAGGAGCUCCUGCUGCAUGGUGGGGGUUGGAAAGUUUCGGCGGUUGGGGAUGGACUCGCGGCUUAUCAGCUUGUUGGUGGGGUAGUGGCUUACCAAGGCUUUGACGGGUAGCCGGCCUGAGAGGGUGACCGGCAAGAUGGGGAGUGAGAGCCGCCCCGAACCCCGCGGGGGGCGGCAGGGGGGAAAUUUGGAACAGUGGGGGAAGCCUUGAGCCGGCACCCCCGGGGGGGGGAGGCCGCCCUUGGGUUUGAAACCCCUUUUCCCCGGGGAGGAAGGGGGAGUGAGGUAAAGGGAUAAAGAACCCCGGCCAAACUCGGGC